GCGGGUAUAGCUUAAUGGCAAAGCUCCAGCCUUCCAAGCUGGCCAUGCGGGUUCGAUUCCCGCUACCCGCU
rnacentral:tRNA from 1 species